CACUUCCUCUGUGCUAGCAAGGCUGCAGUAAAUUGCUAUUAAAACAAAUUCAGCCUCUUAGUUGCUACCAUCUUGCCAUUAGGUAAAGUUCCAGGGUCCUAAUCAGGAUAUCACAUUGUAUUUACUAAGGAUGUCUCCUCAGACCCCUAUUGGCUGUAACAGAUUCUCAGUCUUUUCUUGUUUUCUAUGACUUUGCAGUUUGGAGGAGUACUAGUGAGAUUUUUUUGUAAAAUGUUUUUCAUUUGAGUUCUCGUGAUACUUUUCUCGUGGUGACAAAGGGGUUAGAAGUUUUGGGGGAGGAAGACCACAGAUUUCUGUUAAGAUUCCUGCAUUUGCUCAAGAUAUUUUUUCUUUUCUAUGAGUAAAUUCAUGCUGAGAGAGGAAAGAGGAGAU
rnacentral:lncRNA from 13 species